CAAAGGUAGGGUAAUCACUUGUUUAUUAAUUGUAGACCUGUAUGAAAGGCAAAACGAGGGCCUAUCUGUCUCUUGUAGUAAAUCAAUUAAACUGAUCUCCCAGUCCAAAAGCUGGGAUGCCAACAUAAGACCAGAAGACCCUGUGAAGCUUAAACUAAACUAUUAAAUCCUAUAAUAGCUCCUUUCGGUUGGGGCGACCCUGGAAAAAAAAAGAACUUCCAAACAUACUGACCUUACAGUCACCUACCCUAGGCCAACAAGCCUAACAACGACCCAGCACAGCUGAUAAUUGAACCAAGUUACUCCAGGGAUAACAGCGCUAUCUUCUUCAAGAGCCCAUAUCAAAAAGAAGGUUUACGACCUCGAUGUUGGAUCAGGACAUCCUAAUGGUGCAGCCGCUAUUAAGGGUUCGUUUGUUCAACGAUUAACAGCCCUACGUGAUCUGA
rnacentral:rRNA from 1 species